UCUGUGUCUGUUGAUGAAGAAGUGAUGAAACAAAUAAUGAUAAUUUUAAACAUACGCAGAUUACAGACACAGCUUCAAAAGGAGCAUCUGGCUUCAAGUAAAUAUCGCCCUCUGCUGUUCAACCCACAAAAAAAGUUUUAUUAAAGCUUUGUUUGCAUAUGUCCAAUAUGUGACCAAUCUCCUGAAGACCGCACUUUAUCCUGUGUCUUUUAAUGUACUCCAGGAAAAAGAUUUUACAAUACGGGCCAGGCAUUUUCCAGUCUACACUUCUUUUUCCUGCUUGGCAUGUCCCCCGCCUGCAGUAUAGUCUAUCACACUUGUGUUGCUGUAUAAUAUGAGAGAGCGGUGAAGCCCAUUUUUGGAGGAUUGGUCCCAGAUUGCACAUUUAUAGAAAAUUACCACUUCCCUAACUGUGUUGGGGUAAUUAUUAGAAAGUAAAUUAUAUUAAAAAUGCCCCCAGGCAGUAACAGCAGAUUUUUUAAUUAUAAAAAAAAAUACUUUUUAUUUU